AAGCAGGCACCGAUUGAAGGUUAUACGGAGUGGCUUGAUAAUAUCAUUGAUAAAUGUGUUUUGCAGCCAUUAAAGGACCAUGACAAAUCCUUCAAAGAAACUGCCUCCAAGUUUAUUCUACACUGGGAGAUAAUAGGGUCCCUCUUCAUGAGAGACCUCACCCUACACAAUGCAAGCAGUUUUGGAGCAUUCCAUUUGAUUCACAUGAUGUUUGACGAGUAUGUCUUUCUGGUGAUGGAGACGCAACAUGACCAGGUUACAGACAAGACAUUACAGAAGGCAGUGCAGAAGUACAUGAAAUGUGCAGGUCUGUACCCUGAUAAUAAGUUUUCAAUAAACUGCAUACCAAACGUGGUUCAUAUACAUGUAUUACAGGAUGUCACAAAAUGUUUCAAUACAUUUCAUGUAAUAAACUUCUUCUUUGUAAAAAAAUGUAAUUAUAGCAGUUCCAGUAGUUACACAACGAUUCGAAGAAUUAUAAUAUUAAAUUGCAAUACAUGUAUUAAUAUCAUUCAGAGGAGAUUAAGACCCAAGCUAAAGUGCGAGUGCCCUCAUCCAAGCAUUUAGUGUCUCCGAAAGGUCGGAAAAGGAAGAUAGAGGAAGAAGUCUUCGAUAGCAAUGAUGAGGGGGACAAUACGGGUGGGAUGGACGAGAACCGACCGGGUGCGGCCGAUUCCUAUUCGGCCAUGAACGGUACCGCCUUCAGUCGACCGGCUCCGUCCAUACAUAGAGAUCCUUGUAAUCUGACAUUUCCCGAGGAAAACUGUCGCUCAGGAAUAAGCCAUUCUACCUUGCCACUAUCCCCACUCAAACACUACUCUACCAUUAACGGAAGUGCCUACGACCGUCCCACGUACAUAUCUCAGUACGGUUUGAAUUCCUAUGGUGAUAUCAUGAACACCAAUAACAGUUUCACUACUCCUCGUGUGCAGCCUUACGGCGAAAGUCAUAUCAACUCUUUCACGGCAGUGCCUUUUACCGGAAGUGUUCCCCAGGCAACGACGUCGUACUGGGCAGAUAGUAGAACACAUCCGACAUUUCACGAGACUUACAAUCCGUACGGUUAUAACAAGUUCCAUUCUUCAUAUGAUACUUACAACAAAAGCUCAUUUCUGAGAGGAUCAACUUACCAAGACUCUAUAAAUAGAUCUGCAUUUGAAAAUUCUAGAAACUAUUACAGAAGCUCUCAUGAUAAUUUCCAAGUAGGCAGUCAUAUUUCUAUUGGAGGUUUGAAUGGAACGUACAUGGAUAUUGCGCAGCCGCAGUCCCAAUAUCCGCCGCGUCAGGAUUCUGCCGUGUUCUUUCAAGAUGACCUUUAUGCAAAUUCAAUGCCUCCAUCAUUUUCAACCAUAGGCAAACCAUACUUUGCAGCCGCAUUCCGAUGAAAUUACAUAACUUUAUAAUAAUUGAAAUAAAUAAAAAAUU
rnacentral:misc_RNA from 1 species